UCGUGGGCAAUCUGUAGGAGCUGCCGAAGGCUGCGAUCUUUUGAUCUUGAUCAUCGUUAUCGAUAAAAGAUCGCAGCCUGCGGCAGCUCCUACAGGGAUC
rnacentral:misc_RNA from 1 species